UACAGGGGGUGCAAACGUUGCUCGGAAUCAUUGGGCGUAAAGCGCACGUAGGCGGUUCGUUAUGUCGGAUGUGAAAGCCCUUGGCUUAACCGAGGAAGUGCAUCCGAAACUGGCGAGCUAGAGUACGAAAGAGGAUCGCGGAAUUCCCGGUGUAGAGGUGAAAUUCGUAGAUAUCGGGAGGAACACCAGUGGCGAAGGCGGCGAUCUGGGAAGAUACUGACGCUGAGGUGCGAAAGCGUGGGGAGCAAACAGGG
rnacentral:rRNA from 1 species